UCCUAUUUUUUGCAAUCGCUAAAUACUUAGGAAGAUGUGUUUUCUUUUUAACAUUAUUAUACAUAUAUAAUCUAUGAUUGUUCUAUCUACCGGUUACUAUUAGCACCUCACUCCAUGGUUGUGCAUGCAUGCAUGUGGUUAAAACAUUCUAUUAAAACAUGGUGCAACAACUAUUGUGUGCCCAUAGUUUAUUCCAAUCACUCUUCAUCUAGUUGACAUUUUUCACACAUCCAUAUCUAACUUAUCGAUUCCCCUACCAGCCAAAUGUUUAUCAGUUCAAUACGCCAGUGAGCGCCGCGCCUUGAUAAGGGGUUUGACUCAGUUCAAGCCUCUCCUUGUACUUCUAAUAUGUUCGUUGAACUUCUCGAGGUUUGUUUUUAUACUUGUUAGCCUUUUUCUGUAUUUUCAAUAAUUUUACAUUUCU
rnacentral:lncRNA from 1 species